UUCACUCCUGGCUGUUGGGUUUCAUGUAUUUUUAACUUGGCAAUGCCUGUCUGUGAUAAGAUGACUCACUUGAAGAUUGUGUGACUGAAUAAGUUUAAAAGAUCUUUCAGUCCUUCCAAUUCCAUUGCCCUGAAUUUAAACUUCAUUUGACUGUAAUAGAUAUAUUAAUGUAAAUAAAAUCAUACAGUGUUUGGGAUAUGUAUGUCUGCAAGUAUGCAUGUAUGUUGGUGUAUAUCACAUGAUUUAGUUACACACAUUGUAUUCAUGUUGUAUAAGUACAUAUUACACAUUUCCUAAAAUGUGUUUGCAUACAAUACUGUUUUGAAUACAAUACUAUAAACUAAUGAAUUGAGCUAGUUACCUGAACUAAUUGUGUGUCUAGAAUUUUAUUGCUUUCUAAAUCCAUGCAGCUGUAUGAGCAAUAUUUUGCACAAUAGCCUGGUGAAUCACAUCGUCCAUCACCCCCAAUAACAACCUGCUUUCCCUGACGCUCAGUCAUCAUAAUAGUCUGGUGCUUUUUCCAAACAUUCAAAACACUUGGAAUAAGAUAUCCACUUUGUAUAUAGUUGUAGCACCUUUCAGUAAUGAACUGUACAUUUGCUUGUUGAAAAUAUUGCAGGAUUUUGGAUGGGCUGUUACCACUAAAUAGAAUACUGGCAGAUAGCAAGAGAUUACCCAAUGGCAUCUGACUAUGAUGACCACCACAGUGUCGACACUGAGAGAACAACUUUCUUAGACAGCUGUCAAAAACUAUAUAUUUUUUUUGAGUAACAUCAUUUUCCCUAUAACAUGGAAAAAUUACUUAUUUUUUAUAUGAAUGUUAUCUUGCUCUGUAAAAUACUUGAAAUGAA